CGCCUGUUUAUCAAAAACAUGUCUUUUUGAAUUUAAUUUAAAGUCUGGUCUGCCCACUGAUUUAUAAUUGAAGGGCUGCAGUAUAUUGACUGUACAAAGGUAGCAUAAUCAUUAGUCUUUUAAUUGAUGACUUGUAUGAAUGAUCGGAUAAAAUAUAAGCUGUCUCUAAAUAAAUUUAUAGAAUUUAAUUUUUUAUUUAAAAAGUUAAAAUAAUUUUAAAAGACGAGAAGACCCUAUAGAGUUUAAUAUUUAUUUAAAUUAAAAUUAUAUAUUUAAAUUUAAUUAAAAAUUAAAUAUUUAUUUUAUUGGGGUGAUAAAAAAAUUAAUUAAACUUUUUUUAAUUUUUAACAUAGAUAAUUGAAUAUUUGAUCCAAUUUUUUUGAUUAUAAGAUUAAAUUACCUUAGGGAUAACAGCGUAAUUUUUUUUUUUAGUUCAUAUAAAAAAAAAAGUUUGCGACCUCGAUGUUGGAUUAAGAUAAAAUUUAAAUGCAAAAGUUUAAAAUUUUGAUCUGUUCGAUCAUUAAUAUCUUACAUGAUCUGAGUUCAAACCGGAG
rnacentral:rRNA from 1 species